rnacentral:rRNA from 1 species
UACAGAGGUGGCAAGCGUUGUUCGGAUUUAUUGGGUGUAAAGCGCACGUAGGCGGCAUUGUAAGUGUCUGGUGAAAUCCCACGGCUCACCCGUGGAACUGCCAGGCAUACUGUGAUGCUCGAGUGUGGUAGGGGAGAGCGGAACUCCUGGUGGAGCGGUGAAAUGCGUAGAUAUCAGGAGGAACACCGAUGGCGAAGGCAGGUCUCUGGGCAUUAACUGACGCUGAGGAGCGAAAGCAUGGGGAGCGAACAGG